UACGGGGGAGCCAAGCGUUGUUCGGAUUUACUGGGCGUAAAGGGCGCGUAGGCGGCCUGUGCAAGUCAGUUGUGAAAUCUCCGAGCUUAACUCGGAACGGUCAACUGAUACUGCUCGGCUAGAGUGCGGAAGGGGCAACUGGAAUUCUUGGUGUAGCGGUGAAAUGCGUAGAUAUCAAGAGGAACACCUGCGGCGAAGGCGGGUUGCUGGGCCGACACUGACGCUGAGGCGCGAAAGCUAGGGGAGCGAACGGG
rnacentral:rRNA from 1 species